rnacentral:rRNA from 1 species
UACGAAGGGGGGCUAGCGUUGUUCGGAAUUACUGGGCGUAAAGGGCGCGUAGGCGGCGUGUCAAGUCAGGCGUGAAAGCCCCCGGGCUCAACCUGGGAACCGCGCUUGAGACUGGCAUGCUCGAGUUCGGGAGAGGAUGGUGGAAUUCCCAGUGUAGAGGUGAAAUUCGUAGAUAUUGGGAAGAACACCGAUGGCGAAGGCAGCCAUCUGGACCGACACUGACGCUGAGGCGCGAAAGCGUGGGGAGCAAACAGG